UACGAAGGGGGCUAGCGUUGCUCGGAAUCACUGGGCGUAAAGCGCACGUAGGCGGAUCUUUAAGUCAGGGGUGAAAUCCCAAGGCUCAACCUUGGAACUGCCUUUGAUACUGGGGAUCUCGAGUCCGGAAGAGGUUGGUGGAACUCCGAGUGUAGAGGUGAAAUUCGUAGAUAUUCGGAAGAACACCAGUGGCGAAGGCGGCCAACUGGGCCGGCACUGACGCUGAGGUGCGAAAGCGUGGGGAGCAAACAGG
rnacentral:rRNA from 1 species